AUGCUACCACUACCCGUCCACCUGUCCUUCAUGCGUGGCCACUACUGGGUGGGCAUGAAGGCCAACUGGAUCGUCCUCAUCCACCACACCGCAGACGCAAAUGCGCUGGCCUUCAUGAUUCCAGGACCUGGAAUCAUACCAGCCGAUGGAGAUUCGUCGACACAGCUUGUUGCCAGCACGACCCUCUUUUGUUGGAUAUUAUGUAUUGUUGUUAGUUUGAAGCACUCCUCUGUACCAUAUAACUGGAAUUACCGAUGCAAGUCGAAGAAGGAUUGGCCGGUGCUGCCGGUUGGCGUCAAGUUCGAUCCCACGGAUCAGGAGCUGAUCGAGCACCUUGAGGCCAAAGUGAGUGUUGACAGCGCGAGAUUUCAGUCUCUCAUCGAUUUGUUCAUACCAACCAUCGACAGCAAGCACGGCAUAUGCUACACCCAACCUGAGAAACUUCCGGGUAUCACACUGAGUGGCCUAAGGAAACAUUUCUUCCAGCGCAAUUUCAGGGCGUUCAAAAGGGGCACACGGGCAGCAAAAAAGGUUCUGGUGCUGCACACCAACAAGAACUUCAACCAGCAGAGGACCAACUGGGUGAUGCACCAGUACCACAUCGGGGACCUGGAGCAAGAGAAGGAGCGGGAGCUGGUCCUCUGCAAGAUUUUCUACCAGACGAACACUAGGGCCAGGAGUAGUUUGGUAUUGGUAGUUGUACUACCUUGUCGUCCGCAAGUUGGUAUUGUUGUUAACGAUCUUUUGGCCCAGCCCAUGACGACACCGGGGCACAAAGAUCCAGCACUCCUCUGGCCCGCCGGCGUUAGUUAUAUUUUGUCUUACAACAUCCGCAGGCAGUUUUGUUACUGA
rnacentral:rRNA from 1 species